GUAGGCUAAACGGACAAUGGCCGUAUGGAGACAAAAGCUAGUUUAUUAGGCUGAAGAGUGACAGAGUAACAGGCUGUUUGUGUGUGAGAGAGAGAGAUGGAGAAGGAAAAGAGGAAGACAGAGAAAGAGUGGCCCUCUGCGUUCCAUUGUGGCUGGACUCACAUCUGGUGGCCAUGUGUGACCGGAGCAGCAGGGCUAAUGAUGGGCUUCCUGAGGCCAGCUCAAUUAGGCCAGGCCUCACCGGACUCCCAGAGAGAGAGAGGCAGAAAGAGAGAUGACUAUCGACAUGCUGGUUUACCGUUUGUGUGUGUUUGUGUAUAUGAGUCAAUCUCCACUAUAUACAUUCCCCUCCUGCUUACGUGUGUGUGUGUGUGUGUAUAAAGACAAGCGAGUCUUUCCUCUACUGAUGUGUGUUUUCAGGCAUUUGUGUACAUGUAGUUCACCCUGACACACUCCUGAUUUUCUUUUUUUUCUUUUUUUUAAACAAAACAACACCUCCCUUCAACACACAUACACAAGCAUGCGUACACACACCCUCCCUCCUAAGCAGGCUAAAACUAACGAACAAGCUGUAAAGCCAUUAACGGUUAGGGCACUGCUUUGAUGGCCCCAAUAUACAAUUUCCAACACACUUAAAAUUACACAGGGCAAGAGCUUGCAACCAUGUCCUAAGGCAUCUGUGCCCAUAUCUGUGUGUGAUGUUUGGUAUGCGUGUGUGAGUGUUACAUUAUGUACAAGUACAAGAUCCCCCAGGGAUCAAUAAAGUAUUCUGAUUCUGAAGUAAGCACCAAAUCAGGUGGGUUUCUGUGACAGUCCUUUAUUAUUCCUGGUUUGCAAACCGUUCACCCCAGAAGACACAGGCUGACAAAUACAAACCUAAUAAACAGCAAAGAAAAGCCCGUCUGUUUGUGUUAAUAAAAGGCUUUAUUGGGGAAAUUUGAUGCCAAUUCUUCCCAUAAUCACGUGUUACUGGUCAGAUGUGUAUAAUUAGUAUUGCAUAAGCAAUCGCACAAACAAGAACUGGGGUUAUUUGAGGCUUUGAGUUUUAGCGAAAGAAAAAGGACACAGGUUAAGGUUUCAAACAUGAUGCUAGUCUGCGU
ensembl:lncRNA